CAGUAAUCCAUUGGAUUCAUCUUGUGCUAGCUGUAACUCCCAGUUGAAUGUCGAAAUGCACCAUCUGAAACACAUUAAGACAAUUAAUGUGAAACUAAAUACUUUUGACCAAAAUCUGGCCAAAAUCAAUCGUAAACAGGUCCCACUGUGUCAUAAUUGUCAUCAAUUAGUUCACAAGGGACAAUACAGCGGAUUAAGUCUGAAACACUUAAGUAAUAAACAAUAACGUUCCCAAUCGAUUGGGGAAAAUUUUCGAGAAAAGAUGGAAUAACGGAGACGAAAGAAGUUUAAAAUAAUGAGAGAAGGUCAAUAGAGUACCAUCAUAAUUAUCAAUUCCAAGAGCAAUGGAGAAGUUAGCCCGUCAGCUAAUUAUCCUGUAAAACUAAGCCUCGAAGUUUUACGUCCGAGAUCUCGGAGUCCCCAUAGUAGUUAUAACAGCGAAGGGGGGCAGCCUAAUUCUCAAGGAUAAAAAUUGCACGAACAGUCCAAAACCUGUAUUACAAAAUCUUACUGAUUUGGAAAACCGUGUCAUUUCAAUUUCCUGUAGACCUUGACUAUCCGUUAAGGAUAGUAGAUAUAAUCUAUUCAGUAUUAAUUCAAGUGUUCUCAUUGUAUAAAUUUGAACUACUUUUUCUCUUAAUCUACCCCCAACUGUUUGACAGAUUUAAAGGGUAGACUAAGAAUUGAGAUUACAUCCACAAGCUCUUCGUGAAGGCAUAGAAUUAGGGGGAGAGCCGUAUGCAUUGAAAGGUGCACGUACGGUUCGGAAGGGGGUUCACUAUACUGGGUUCCUACCUUGCCAAGUUACAUCAUAGCAGGUACAGAACUGUGAUCUCAGGCAACUUAUAAUUUCUUAUCUAGGCAACGCCUAGAUAAGAAAUAACUUUGCAUAUAUCGGGGAAUCGUGAGGAUUUUAUCGGUGAGUAUUCGCACUCGGAAGGGCAAUGAUGAAUAUAAAAAUGUAUUGAAUAAUCGGACAUAGUACGAUAAGGUUGUAUGUCUAAAGGGAAACAGCCCAGAACAAGAGUUAAGGUUCCAAAAUUAUUGUUAAGUGAAACUAAGGAAGUUUCUAUCUAAUACAACUAGGAAAUAGGCUUAGAAGCGGCUAUUUUUUGAAGACCUCGUAACAGAGCACUGGUUUAGUAAAAACUUUACAUUGAUAGUUGCACCGAAAAUUUAACGGAUCUAAACAAUAUACCGACACCUUGUCCAUAUUGUUAAAUGUAAUAUAGAAUUUAACUAUGGGGUAGCAGAACGUUGGGUAAAUCUUAGACAUAUUCUUUUUAAGAAUAUAGAGUAAUAACGAGUAAUAUCGUGUGAGAGCCCUGAAUUAAUGGUAACCCAAGUGAGAAUGCUGACAUGAGUAACGAAAAAGGGUCCCUUGCGUUCGUUAAGAUGAAUUUGAAGAAUAGGAAUUAGUUGUCCAGUUUAGGGCGGACAUUCAAUUAAUUCAAAAAAAACGUAGGAAAUUAAUAUGGGGGGGAUAUCUAACAAAAGAUAUUAUAGCCCUCGCCUAAAGCUUAUGGAUUUAUUAAAGUAACGGCCUCUAAGUUUACUAACCUAAAGGAUUAAACGAUGAGUAAAGCUUACCUACAAAGUAACAACAUCUUCUUGCUCGGUGAUAAUAUUUAUACUCAGUAAGAAAAGUGAAGAAGGUUCUGGAAAAACUUGUAACAAGUAAUGUUUAUUUUAUCAUUUUGAAUAUAAUAAAACAUAUGAAGAAUGACGAAAUAAGGCUAAAUAAACCGUACCUAAAUACUACCACAAGUAAGCAAGUAGAGAAUACGAAGGCGUUUGAGUGAACAAUCAUUAAGGAACUCGGCAAACUAACUACCGUAACUUCGGGAUAAGGAGAGCCAUUCUUACUUAUUAGUAUAAGGUAAAGAAUAGGAAGCAUGGAAUAGUGUUGUACGACUGUUUAAUUAAAACAAAGCACUUUGCAAUAAGAUAAUAAAUCAAAGUAUUGAGUGUGAUUUCUGCCCAAUGUCGGCUGGUUAACGGAUUUUCUAGGUUGACUAAUAUAAGCUUGGAUUUGAAGGAAACCCCGAUCAAUGGCGGCCUUACCUAUGAGGGUCCUAAGGUAGCGGAAUACCCUGGCCGUUAAAUGCGGUCUUGCAUGAAUAGAAAUCAAUCUAUUCCUAAUUUAACCGUGGCAUUAUAACGAUAUUAAUAAUAACUUAAAAGAAUGUGCCCUGCUUAGUAGCCGGUACACGUGCGACUUCAUACCUAUAGAUGUAUGAGAUGUGGUUAUCAUCUUAGAAAAAGGGAACUAUCCGGAAAGCUACUUAAAAAUCCUAUUUUGAAACAGGUAGGAGAGGAAACUUGGUGCUAAAACAUGACGCAUCUGAACUAAGUAGAAAAUAACUAUGGACCUAAAUGUCAAAAGCGUUGAAUUUUUUUAAGUAAGACGCACACGAGCGAACUCUAAGGUAACCCCUAUUAAGUUUAUUAUUAUUAUUCUCCUCUUAGCAUUAUAACCCCGUGGAAGCAGAGGAGGGGGAAUGUGGGCAAAAAAAAAUAUAAAAAAACCAAAAACAUGAAAAAUCAAAAAUCGAUAACCAAAUUAAAUAGAUGCUUCUCCAGUUGACCCUCAAUAUUAGGCAGAGAUGGACCUAUGUCUAAUGCGUAUCGUUUAGCUAUACAAUAUAUUAAUGAAAGUAGACCUAUAACAGCGGUUGAAGUUAAUAAAGUUUUAGCUUUUUCUGGUAUUAGUAUUAGUCAGGACAUGUUAAAUAAAAUACUUAGUAGGCCUAGAUUAGAUUUUUCCGAUCUAGACUCAAAUACUAUAAAAACAGAAAAAUUCUUACAAACAAUAGGUACAGUAAGAGGUAAGGUUCAAUUACCUGGUGUUUACAUUUGAAUACACUUAGUUACAGGUGACAUGUAUGUGGGAUCAUCCUCUAAAUUAGCUCGUAGAUUAAUUGGUUAUUUUAAUAAUAACCAUAAAGAUACUGGU
rnacentral:rRNA from 1 species